rnacentral:rRNA from 1 species
GACGGGUAUCCGGCCUGAGAGGGUGAACGGACACACUGGAACUGAGACACGGUCCAGACUCCUACGGGAGGCAGCAGUAGGGAAUAUUGCUCAAUGGGGGAAACCCUGAAGCAGCAACGCCGCGUGGAGGAUGAAGGUUUUAGGAUUGUAAACUCCUUUUGUUAGAGAAGAUUAUGACGGUAUCUAACGAAUAAGCACCGGCUAACUCCGUGCCAGCAGCCGCGGUAAUACGGAGGGUGCAAGCGUUACUCGGAAUCACUGGGCGUAAAGAGUGCGCAGGCGGGAUAGCAAGUCAGAUGUGAAAUGCUAUGGCCUAACCAUAGAACUGCAUUUGAAACUGUUAUUCUA